GGGGAAUAUUGCACAAUGGGGGAAACCCUGAUGCAGCGACGCCGCGUGAAGGAAGAAGUAUUUCGGUAUGUAAACUUCUAUCAGCAAGGAAGAUAAUGACGGUACUUGACUAAGAAGCCCCGGCUAACUACGUGCCAGCAGCCGCGGUAAUACGUAGGGGGCAAGCGUUAUCCGGAUUUACUGGGUGUAAAGGGAGCGUAGGUGACAGGGCAAGUCAGAUGUGAAAGCCCGGGGCUCAACCCCGGGACUGCAUUUGAAACUGCCUUGCUAGAGUGCAGGAGAGGUAAGUGGAAUUCCUAGUGUAGCGGUGAAAUGCGUAGAUAUUAGGAGGAACACCAGUGGCGAAGGCGACUUACUGGACUGUAACUGACACUGAGGCUCGAAAGCGUGGGGAGCAAAC
rnacentral:rRNA from 1 species